rnacentral:lncRNA from 1 species
GGGUUCCAGGUGCCCAUAGCAGAUGAAGGACCCAUGGCUCUCCAGGAAACUUCCCAGUCUUUAAUGACAGAUUGGAACUGCUGUGGAACCGAGGCUCAAGGACCAAACAACUACCAGGUUCUCAGCCCCUCGAGCAUGAGACAGCUGCUGUUAAUAUUUCCAUGCUGGACUCAAAUUAUGUAUUUGAAGCUGCCCUUCAACUCCUGAUCCUCCAGCUUCUACUUUCCAAGCAUUGGAAUUACAGUGUUGUGAUGGAAUCACAUUCAGCAUACUCUUCAGUGUUGUGAUGGAAUCACAUUCAGACCCAUGGAAAAUAGAGCAGUUCCCUGCUUGCUCUUGAGCUGGAAAUCUGUUCUCUAUUAUAAGGAGAGGGGUCCUGUAUAUGCCCAGUGCGAUGGAUAUAUUGGAUGUCGACUUGACUUCAUCUGGAAUUGACUAAAACCCCAAAAUGGCUGUGCACACCUGUGAGGAAUGUUUUCUGAAUUAAAUAAUUUGAAAUGGGAAGAUCUACACUUCUAAUCUGAAUCUU